rnacentral:rRNA from 1 species
GUCCACGCCCUAACGAUGUCAACUGGUUGUUGGGUCUUCACUGACUCAGUAACGAAGCUAACGCGUGAAGUUGACCGCCUGGGAGUACGGCCGCAAGGUUGAACUCAAGGAAUUGACGGGACCCGCACAAGCGGUGUAUGAUGUGGUUUAAUUCGAUGCAACGCGAAACCUUACCCACCUUUGACAUGUACGGAAGUUACCAGAGAUGGUUUCGUGCUCGAAAGAGAACCGUAACACAGGUGCUGCAUGGCUGUCGU